UAAAAUAAACUAUUGAGAUCUCAUGUAUAAUUGUCUGAGUUUUCUAAUAAUUUCUCCUUUACAUUUUCUGCUCAUUUUCUUCGCUGGUCUGUUCUAACUUGACACACACUGUUCUCUCGGUUCUUGUCGUUUUGUCUGUAAUUCUGUCUUUACACCUUUAUCUACUCUGAUCCCUCUCUCACUGUUUGUGUACUCAGAGCGUCUGUAUCAUGUUGCUGAGAUCUGGCUCGUUAAUUGCUCGGUAAUUACAGUGCUUCUGUUGAUCUGUUCAUUUCACAGCGCUGCUACAAACCUUUUAGGCUGUCUGCUGGAGCUCCGACUCUAUUGGAUUUGGCUCAUGUGCCUGUCUAACGCUUUGAGAGCUGCUCUAAUGUGCUGUCAGCCGUUCCACAUGCACUUUCUCUGUCGUGAUGCACUUGCCUGUCUGGACAACUGUUGCUGAUGGGAUCUGAUGUCACGUACGCUCGAAGUGUUGACGGGCUCCGACCAAAGUAACUGAGAACCUGCUGGUAUCAUCCUCGUCUUCAAUGGCAGCCACAGCCUCUGGACUCCAAACUCUGAACGCUGCUUAUCUUUACAGCCGCUAAUACUGGCGAAGAACCCGGUGAUGGGACCAGCCCGUGUUAACCAUUAACACCCCAACUUGCACCCUUUUUCAUCCUGGUGGUGUAUCAUGACCUAGAUGAGGAGAACGACGGAGAAGAAGCGCUAUGGUAAUGCAAAGAGACCUUCAGCGUCUGUCCCUGUCGUUUAAAUUACAAGAGCGAGAUUAAUUUUCCAUUUGCGGACCUCUGAAAGAUGGCAACAUCUUCCCAAAAACAUUCCGCUGAUAAAUGAAAAG